rfam:Ailuropoda melanoleuca scaffold467_23, whole genome shotgun sequence.
GUCUACGGCCAUACCACCCUGAACACUCCCAGUCUCAUCUGAUCUUGGAAGCUUAGCAGGGUUGGGCCUGGUUAGUGCUUGGAUGGGAGAUAAAGGGGCUGAACAUA